rnacentral:rRNA from 1 species
AGCUCCAGAAGCAUAUAUUAAAGUUGUUGCAGUUGUAUGCUCCUAGUCUGUUUUUUGUUGCAUCUUGUUUGUUUAGUUCUUUUGGUCUCGAAUCAAUUGCAUACUAUUUAAACGGCGACUUUUUUGUUUUUUUCACUUGUGAAUUAAAAACAUCCUUUACUGAGACUAAAUUGAAAUGUUCCAUGUAGACUUACGUACUGAACAAUCCAGCUUGGAAUAAUGCCCUAGGAAUUUUGGGUCUUUAUUUGACGAACUUAAAAUUAAUACGAGAUAGGAACCGACGGGGAUGCUUGUAUUUGUUGGCAAGAGGUGAAAUUCUUGGACCCACCAAAGACAGUCUUAUGCGAAAGCGUUCAUCAAGAAGGUUUCCA